CUAGUAAUAGCCUUCGUACAUUUUGUUAUUUGUUUUAGGGAGGUCCGAAAAUUCUGAUAUAGCCAUGUUAUAUGAAGAGUUUGGACAGAUUUUUUAAGUUCCUCUUGUAACGUUGCGAUAACCAAAGGUCAUCUCUUCGUCUACCUUUCUUAUUGCCCUUUUAAUCAUCACCCUUUCUUCUUCAUUUUUCUGAAAAUAAAAUCAGCAACCCUUGGUCUUUGUGACUCCAUUUCACACCCCAUUCUCGUCCAACCAUUAGAGAAGAAGAGAAAGAGUUCUUUUCUCUUCUCGAUUUUCGUCCAUUUCUGCACACCCAUUUUCUUUGCAUCAUAUCUCCUUCGUUUCUUAUCCGAAUUGAGCGUGUGAGUAGUCAAAAUCUAUCUACUCGGAAAGAUCUUGCUCGUGGUAUAAUUUGUUUUUGAAUAAAGGGGAAGACGCGACUGCAGUUUUCGUUGCAAUCAGACGAGUCAUCCGGUUUUGUUCCCUGUCGCACCUUUACGAAAAUAACCGUAGCCGGAGAUCUAACCGUUGGAUAGUCUUCAAAUUUGGACAGAACGUUUAUGACAUAUUGUUCUUUACUUUGACCGGAUCGAUUUGGAUUCCGAGCUUUUGAUCACCGCGAAUCAUAGUCGGAACAGAGCAGUGCAAAAUAAGAGUUUUCAACAUUCAAGGAAAAGAUGGUGACGCUGUUUAGAGUGGUUCUAGUCUGGAUCGGGGGUGUGUGUGUUCCCCGUGAGAGCAAAGAAAGGGAGCUUAUCAUAGUGGAUGAGUAUUUCAUAUCUGGAUUUAGGAUUAAAUACGUAGUUGGUUUAAGUAGCUAAUUCUAGUUUUGACUCAUGUAUUGGAACUAUGUUUUACAGUUGUCUUAGUUUUGUUUACUCUAUGAUUUUGAGAAUUUCUUGGUGGUGUUAUGACUCUUUGAGACUUGUUGAAGAAUGAGGAUAUGGGACCUCAUCUUCCCUUUUUAUUAUAUGUACUGGAGUUGACUUUUACCUAUGAUGGUAUUCUAUUUUAGUUUUGUUCUA